rnacentral:misc_RNA from 1 species
UACAAUUCAAGCUCCAGCUUGGUGUUGAAUGGAAUCAUCAGUGAUUCAUUCGAAACUCAUUGGCACUUGUCUUCCAGUCUAAAGCGUGACAGAAAUCUCUCGCUCUCGACUUUGAGAUCAGUUGCCAGUUUCUUCUGAAC